rnacentral:rRNA from 1 species
UGGGGAAUCUUGCGCAAUGCGCGAAAGCGUGACGCAGCAACGCCGCGUGGGGGAAGACGGCCUUCGGGUUGUAAACCCCUUUCAGGAGGGACGAAGGUGCGACGGUGAAUAGCCGUUCGUACUGACGGUACCUCCACAAGAAGCCCCGGCUAACUACGUGCCAGCAGCCGCGGUAAUACGUAGGGGGCAAGCGUUGUCCGGAAUCAUUGGGCGUAAAGCGCGCGUAGGCGGCCCGGUAAGUCCGCUCUGAAAGUCCAGGGCUUAACCCUGGAAAGCGGGUGGAUACUGCCGGGCUAGAAUCCGGAAGAGGCGAGUGGAAUUCCUGGUGUAGCGGUGGAAUGCGCAGAUAUCAGGAGGAACACCAAUAGCGAAGGCAGCUCGCUGGGACGGUAUUGACGCUAAGGCGCGAAAGCGUGGGGAGCAAACAG